AGGGUAGACCUCGACCACAUCUUUGCCUUCCCAAUAAGCCUUCAUCUGUUCCUGAGUGAUAGAGUCCAUUUUCCCCAAGUACCUAACCAGUGCUUCCGGCUUCAAAAACCCUGGCGAUCUUAUAACUUUCGCUUCUUCAUCACGAGAAGGUUGUGCCACAGCAGGACCAGCAGCAGCGGUGGGGGCGGCAGCCUUGUAUGAUCGAAACAUCUUUUGCAUUGAAUGUGGUCGAAAAGCUGUGAAGUACUUUUGUUCAUUGGAGAACAGAAAUUUGUGUCCACUAGGACCACAAAUCACUGCAGUUUUCUCCCCCAGAAUAUAGGUCUUGAAGAUGUCAGGAGAGUACCUCCUCAUCCUCUUGAACACAAAAUUUUCCGGCUUCCCGAACAGGAACUCGAUCGAUUCACCCACAAUAGGCCACCCCAUGCUUCCUGGUGGGAGGUUUUUGCCAUCAUCUGAUUUUCCUUUGAAUGCAAAGAUUGUAAAGGCUAAGAAAGCAGCACCUAAAGAGAAUAUAAGGUACAAAGUCUCCAUGGUUGGAAUUUGGAGCUGAUCAAGUCUCAAAUACUUAGCUGAGACUGAUUGAAGUUAGCAAGAGGAGUGGUGUGUAGGAAGCUUGGAAAGUUGGGGUUUUAUAGGGAAAGAUUCACUGUGUCAACAACUUUGAGUUAGCAGUAGCACACCAAAAGUGACAAACUUUGAAUAUUCUUCAGAAGGACUUGGUUUGAUAUAAAAUAUUCGAACUUCAACUUGCAAUAACAUUAAUCAUAUAUUCAUAAAACACAUGGUUGCUUGCUCCACUAAGUUUAUUGCUAGGUGGUCCUUCAAUUUGCAGAUGUUAGCAUUUAUGUUUUCAUGAAAGGACAAGAGAAACCUGUUUGCUGGAAUUCUCUACUUAACUAGUGCAUUACUAAAGCUUCGGUACCAAAAUUGCUAUUUACUUGUUUAACUUGUGUGAGGGUGAGUCUUGAUGCAUCGGAAAGGUUGCUCAUUUGUGACCAAAAAGGUUACUGGUUCGAGUCGUGAAAAUAAUCUUUUUGCAAAACAAAUGUAUGACUGCAUAAGAUAGAUGUUCCUCCUCCGAUCCUCACAAAACGGAGAGUCUUAUUGGCUUGGAGGCACCCUUUUACUUAUUUAACUUGUGUAAUUUGUAGCAAGAUUAGAUGGUUAGAAGUUUAUUGGACUGAAUACUAUAAAAGCAUGUUUUUCUUCUUCAUUUUCCCUCUGAUUAAAUUGGAAAGGGCACCAUGCCAAAGUGAUUUCUAUGCAUUUUGUUCAACGUUUGCUAACCAUCUCCAUUUUAAGUUUUUAGUUCUCAUUUCAGAUUUGGGUUUUGAGCUUCCAGUUUUCAUUUUUCAAAAAAAAAAUAAAAAAAUACAAAAACUAAAAACAAAAUAAUUAUCGAAGUGCUUCUUCAAGUUUUGUUGGAUGAUUAUUUCUAAACUUGGCAUCGAUUGUUGUAGAUUCAAAAGUUUUAAUUUAAAAAAUAAAAAAUAAAAGACUAGACGGUGGCUUCGUCAUGAAAUCAAUUCUUUCGAGGGCUAGGAAGACUCAUACAAACAUCUCUCCCUAGCUACCAUCAUGUGCUUCACAAACACCAGGAAUCGAAUGUAAAACAUAUUGUGUGAAAUACAAAUCUAGAACCGUGGUAGGUGAUUCAAAAGCUUUAAAUCAAGGAUACAAAAUAGCAAAUUAAAUGGCGAGAGAUACAUAAUACAAGAGAUGUUAAGCACCAAGGUACUUACAAUAACACCCGCACACGUCAUGGGCACCUCAAGCGGUGGUCAAUUAAUUCAGCCUAGAGGCUUCCCAUGAUGGCUCGCCGGCUUCCAUAAUUGGCUUUAUAAAGGUCUUCCCUUCACAUUAGGGACUUUCCGGUACAUGCAUCUCCUCAUCUAUUUCUUCUUAUUCAUCUUCCCGGUGACGUACAGCAGGAGUGCAAGUUGAAUUGGAAAUUUUAAUCCAAAUAAUAAAAUUUUGUUUUGAGUCCUAACAUUUCCAAUUGCGAGAAUUUUGGAUGGCAUUUGAUAUUUACUUAUACAAUCCGAAAUUUUGAAAAUUUUCAAACUUAACACUAUAAACAAAAAAACCACGCAUAUUCUUAUUUUAUCAUGUAUUUAGAUAUGCUUUAUUUUUAUUUUUUAAUUUAAUUAUACUAUUAUAUGUUAAAAAUAAAGAAUGUAACUAUUUUAUCUUGUUUAAUAUGAUUUUAUGUUGAACACAUAUACGCCUACAAUAAUCACAAAAAAAUCAAAAAAAAAAAUAUUGACCUGUGGACACAUAAAAUUUUUGGCAAUUUUAACGUCUUCAAAAUAUAUGAGAUCCAAGUUAUGUUAUGAAAUUUAUGAUACAAAACCGAUUCGAAAUUUCAGAUAAAUUCCGAUAAUGCAAACUUCCGAACUAGAAACUAAUAUACACGGGCGCGGACUGCACGAUAUUGCACUUGUAUUUGCACGAUUAUUUAUUGUGGUUUAUCCUUUGGUCAACAUUCGACUGAGCGUCAACUUUAGUAGGCCAACCUUGGCGACCGACAACAACCAACAGGAAAUCAGACUCACUGCAAGUAAUUUAGUAAUGGUAUUCGUGGAUUACUAUUUAACUGAGGAUGAGUUUAAACUAUGGUAUUCGGGCACAAAUAGAACGAGAAACGGUGUUGACAUCAUCGUGGACAAGACCUUGACACAAGAUGUUGUAGAUGUCAAGAGGGUAGGAGAUAGAAUCAUGGCAAUCAAGAUUGUAAUAGGACAAGAACUUAUCAAUGUGAUUAGUGCGUACGCACCUCAAGUAUGGUUGGAUACGAGUUCGAAGGAGAAAUUUGGGAAGACCUUGGAGACUUGGUGCAAGGAAUUGCUCAGACGGAGAAGUUAUUUAUAAGAGGAGAUUUAAAUGGACACGUGGGCAGGGAGACAGGCAACUAUGGAAGUUUUCAUGGUGGCCAUGGUUUGGGGAGAGAAACGAGGAUGGGGAAGCUAUCUUGGAUUUUGCAAUGGCAUAUGAUCUCUUCUUAGCCAACACCUUCUUUAAGAAGAGAGAAGAACAUGUGAUCACCUACAAGAGUGGGUCGUCAAAAACACAAAUAGAUUUUCUUCUAAUGAGGAAAGGGGAUCGUAUAACUUGUAAGGAUUGCAAAGUUAUACCAGGAGAGAGCGUGGCUAAUCAACAUCGCUUGUUGGUGAUGAUGAUGUACAUAUCAAAAGAGUGAGAAAAAAGAACAAGACUUGGAAGUGCCCAAGGACUAGAUGGUGGAAUCUAAAAGAAGAAAAACAAGCCAUUUUCAAAGAGAAAAUAAUCACCCAAUGUGUGUGGGAUAGAGAGGGGGAAGCUAACCAAAUGUGGGAUUCCAUGGCUAGUUGUAUCCGAAAAGUAGCAAAAGAGGUAUUAGGAGAGUCCAAGGGCUUUUGCCCCACACCAAAAGGAAUCUUGGUGGUGGAAUGAGGAGGUACAAACAAAGGUGAAGGCUAAGAAGGAAUGUUGUAAAGCCUUAUACAAGGAUAGGACCGAUGAAAAUGGUGAAAGGUAUAGAAAAGCGAAGCAAGAGGCGAAGAAAGCUGUGAGAUAAGCUAAGUUAGCGGCUUAUGACGAUAUGUAUAAGCGACUAGAUACCAAAGAAGGAGAGUUGGAUAUCUAUAAACUAGCUAGAGCAAGGGAAAAGAAGACAAGGGACCUAAACCAAGUGAGGUGCAUCAAGGAUGAGGAUGGAAAGGUUCUUGCUACAGAGAACGCGGUUAAAGACAGAUGGAAAAGUUAUUUUCAUAAUCUUUUCAAUGAAUGACAUGAAAGGAGUGCUUCUUUAGGGGAGUUGAGUAACUCAGAAGAGUGUAGAAACUACUCUUUUUAUCGUAGAAUCCGGAAGGAAGAAGUGGUUGUAGCUUUGAAGAAGAUGAAGCAUAGAAAAGCAGUAGGCCCAGACGAUAUACCAAUCGAAGUGUGGAAAGUUUUGGGAGAGACAGGUAUAACAUGGCUCACUGACCUUUUCAAUAGGAUUUUGAAAACGAAGAAGAUGCCAAAUGAGUGGCGAACGAGCACUUUGGUGCCUAUAUACAAGAAUAAGGGCGAUUUACAAAAUUGCAUGAACUAUAGGGGUAUUAAGCUAAUGAGUCAUACAAUGAAGCUUUGGGAGAGAGUCAUUGAGCAUAGAUUGAGGCAAGAGACACGGGUUUCGGACAACCAAUUCGGGUUCAUGCCAGGGCGCUCAACCAUGGAGACAAUCUAUCUCUUACGAAGAUUGAUGGAAAGAUAUAGAGAUGGGAAAAAUGAUAUACACAUGGUCUUUAUAGAUUUGGAAAAAGCGUAUGAUAGGGUCCCAAGAGACAUUCUUUGGAGGAUUUUAGAGAAGAAAGGAGUACGAGUAGCAUAUAUCCAAGCUAUACAGGAUAUGUAUGAAGGAGCAAAGACUGCCGUAAGAACUCAUGAAGGACAAACCGAGAGCUUUCCCAUAAGUGUAGGAUUACAUCAAGGCUCAUCCUUAAGUCCUUACCUUUUUGCGUUGGUAAUGGAUGAGUUAACAGGACAUAUUCAAGAUGAUAUUCCUUGGUGUAUGCUUUUCGCAGACGAUAUAGUGUUGAUAGAUGAAACUCAGGAAAGGGUAAAUGCAAAGCUUAACCUUUGGAGAGAAGUGUUGGAAUCUAAAGGUCUUCGCCUAAGCCGAUCAAAGACAGAAUAUAUGGAGUGCAAGUUCAGUGCAAAUGGAGGCCAAAACGAGUUAAGGGUGAGGAUCGGAGAUCAAGAAAUACCAAAGAGCGACCGUUUUCGUUACCUAGGAUCUAUCUUGCAAAAGAACGGAGAAUUAGAUGAAGAUCUCAACCAUAGAAUACAAGCUGGAUAGAUGAAGUGGAAGAGUGCAACCGGCGUGUUGUGUGACCGCCGUAUGCCACUGAAGCUCAAGGGAAAAUUUUAUAGGACGGCAAUAAGGCCGGCGAUGCUGUAUGGCACAGAAUGUUGGGCGGUGAAGCAUCAACACGUACAAAAAAUGGGUGUAGCGGAGAUGAGGAUGCUUCUUUGGAUGUGUGGGCACACGAGAAAGGAUAAGAUUAGGAAUGAGGAUAUCCGGGGUAAAGUAGGAGUAGCCGAAAUUGAAGGAAAGAUGAUAGAAAAUCGGUUACGGUGGUUUGGACAUGUGCAAAGAAGGCCUACUGAUGCUCCGAUUAGAAGAUGCGACUAUGGGACAGAGGUUCAGGGCCGAAGGGGUAGAAGAAGACCCAGGAAAACUUUGAGAGAGACCCUAAGAAAAGACUUAGAGUGCUUGGAUCUAACAGAGGACAUAACACAGGACAAAACACAAUGGCGUUCUAAGAUUCAUAUAGCCGAUCCCACUCAGUGACUUGGAUUUUCCAAGUCUCCAACCGAGAAGUUGUCCUCGCUCGGGAAAUUAAGGGAACACUACCUCAACCUACAUGCUCCACUCACAAAGCUCCAACAUACAAGCUUCAACAAAAGAAAAUUCAAAGAACUUAGGGAAGAAGGCUUUGGUGAUUUAACACAAUACGUUGAAAUGAAGGAAAGCUUAUUUAUUGAUAUCCCCGAUAAAUUACAAAUAUGUACAUAUACUUGAGUCAAAAUAAACAAACAAGAGGGAGCCUUCACAAAUGUUGCUUAGGAGAAGUCUCGGCAGUCGGUAGAGCCCCAGAAAGAGAAGGCACCGGAGGGGGAUCAUUCGGAGCCUCAGUACUGGACAGAACCCUAGAAUGAGGAGGCAUCAGAGGUUGAUCAUUUGGAGCUUCAUUACGCGGUACAGCCCCAGAAGACGAAGGCAAUAAAUGCCUUUGGAACAAACCCACAAAUCUCUGAUGAUCAAGUAAAACCUGACCAUCAGAUUCCUUCAUCUGGUCAAGCUUCCUCUUCAUGUUUGUAGCAUAGUCAUGUGCGAGCCGGUGCAACUGUUUAUUCUCAUGCUUGAGCCCUCUAAUCUCCUGUUUGAGACUCAUCACUUCAGCCGCCAAUGAUUCAACUUGGCGGGUUCGAGCAAAUAGGCGUUGGGCCAUAUUAGACACAGAACCUGCACACUGAACACUAAGAGCCAGAGAAUCCUUAACAGCCAACUCAUCAGACCGUUUGGAAAAUAGUCUGUUAUCUUUGGGAGUGAGAAGGUUCCUGGCCACUACCGCAUCGGUCAUAUCAUUCAUCAUCAUGGAAUCCCCAACGGUAAGAGGACUAGUAGGGGAGACGAAGGAUGGGCGCCAUAUGUUGUCUGGAGAAGGCGGGGCUGCCUCUUCAACAAGGUUCAAGUCAAAACGACGGUCGGAGGGGCCAGACAUUUUCAAAGGUGUAGAAGAGAGAAUAGGUCGGACAAAUCAAGAUCUUAGAAGUGCAAGAAUGGAGCUUCUACUGGUGGAUAUUCAAGUGUGCUUUGGAACUUAAUGUCAGCCUCUAUAAAAAUCUGCACUCGACGAAGCUUCAGAAAUCGAAUAGGCGUUUGCUUUCUCAAAAGCUGGGCUGCUCAGAGACCACGAGGGUCGAUCUCAGAAAUCGAAGAGGCGUUUGAUUUCUCAAAAGAUGGGCUGCUCAAAGACCACGAAGGCCGAUCUCAGAAAUCGAAGAGGUUUGCUUUCUCAAAAGCUGGGCUGCUUAGAGACCACGAGGGCCGAUCUCAGAAAUCGAAGAGACACCUACUUUUCCAGCCUUGUCAACAUCUGUCACACGCACACUCAGCUUUGCGAAAAUUAUGGGCAUUCUGUCGAAGAUUUCUGGCGAAGUAGAAAACACAUGAAUCGUACUGUUCAAUCACCCACUUCCCACACGCAACAGUAGCUCAUGGGUACCACAUAUAAUUUUGCCAAAGUUCUCUGACAAAGUUGAGACUACUUUUCCAACCUUGUCAGCACCUGUCACACGCACACUCAGCUUUGCGGAAAUUAUGGGCAUUCUGUCGAAGAUUUCUAGCGAAGUAGAAAGCACAUGAAUCGUAUUGUUCAAUCACCCAAUUCCCACACGCAACAGUAGCUUAUGGGUACCACAUAUAACUUUGCCAAAGUUCUCUGACAAAGUUGAGACACGUGAAGCUUGCAACUCUCACUACAUCGCUCUGACCAAGAAGGGUAAAAGAAUAGCAAAGAAACAACACUAACAAAGUUUAGACACAUAAAUUUUGAAGGCCUAGCUACCAUAUUAUUACCCACAAGGGUAAAGGAACAUUACCACUGCUGGAUAAUUGGAAAGUCCCGGUGUGUCAACCUCUGUGCUUCGUGGCAAGGUAGACUAGCAAACAUGCCCAACCUUUACUCAUAUUCGAGAAAACACUCCCAACAAGAUUGCUUGCCCCAAAAUCGAAGAGGCAUCGCCCUCCGAAUCUCGAGAGCCAGAUUCCCAACAUGAUUACUUUCUAAAAAAUCGAAGAGAGGGUAAAGGAACAGUACCACUGCUGGAUAAUUUGAAAGUCCCUGUGUGUCAACCUCUGUGCUUCGUGGCAAGGUAGACUAGCAAACAUGCUCAACCUUUACUCACAUUCGAGAAAACACCCCCAACAAGAUUGCUUGCUCCAAAAUCGAAGAGGCACCGCCCUCCGAAUCUCGAGAGCCAGACUCCUAACAUGAUUACUUUCUCAAAAAUCGAAGAUAGGGUAAAGGAACAGUACCACUGCUGGAUAAUUGGAAAGUCCCUGUGUGUCAACCUCUCUGCUUCGUGGCAAGGUAGACUAUCAAACAUGCCCAACCUUUACUCAUAUUCGAGAAAACACUCCCAACAAGAUUGCUUGCUCCAAAAUCGAAGAGGCACCGCCCUCCGAAUCUCGAGAGCCAGACUCCCAACAUGAUUACUUUCUCAAAAAUCGAAGACACCGCUCUCCGAAUCUCGAGAGCCAGACCCCAGCAGGAUUGCUUUCUCAAAAAUCGAAGAGGCAUCGUUCUCCAAAUCUCGAGAGCCAGAUCCCCGACAGGAUUGCUUGUUCGAAAACCGAAGAGGCACCACUUUCCCAACUUUAAAAGCCGGAUCUCCUUGGAUAAAGCUUGUCUGUAAUCUUCACACGCAACAUCAGCUUUCCAGAUACCACAGACCACUUUUUCAAAGUGCUUUGACAGAGUUAAAACUUGUGAAGCUGGCAGCUCCCACUAUCGUGCUAUGACCAAGCAGGGUAAAGGAAUAACAUUAUUACUUGAUGUUAGGGAGACUCCUAUAUAUGUCGACCUCCAUCCCCAACGGACAGGCAGACCUGCAAAAAUGCUCAACCCUUCCUCUUAUCUGAGAGGGCACUCCCAACGAAGCCUUUCGAAAUAUUUAGCUUUCUUUCCCCCCGAUAAUACCUCUGUAAACAAGCUAUACUAGAGCAAGAAUAUCUCAUAUCAUCAGGGUUAAAAGAAAGAGUAUCCCAUAUCAUGCUUUUUCCUUGUCUUUUCCUUUGGCCUUGUUCUUACCUGCAAGACAAGGAGAAAGAGAGCAAUCAGUCAGCACUUGGAAUCAAGCUUCCAGCCAGGAACUGACUGCCUGGAACCCCUUACCUGAUUACUUACCUGGCAUUGCUCUCGAAUACUCAUCUUCAACAUCUUAUGCUUCCAGGGAAGAUACCGCAUCUGCUUGAGGAACAGAUAGGGCAAGUGAGAAUGAUACAAGGAAGCAUGUGGAGACAAGCGUAACAGCACACAUGCCGAUACAUCCACUACUCUGUCAAAAGCAAAAGUAUCCCAUAUCAGCAGGGUCGAACGUACUCUAGAUUUGAUGGACUUGUUUUGACCCUCAAAUUCUUCAGUCGGCCUUAUACUCUGGAGGAAACCAGAAAACCCUCCAGCCCAGUUCAAGAAUAAGCCUAUGGAAAGUUACUUAUUCAAAAGCAAAAGUAUCCCAUAUCAUCUCUUCUCAUUUUUCUUCUCUUUAUCCUUCAUGCUGCCUGCAAGAUAUGGAGAAUGUGAACAAUCAGUCGGAGCUCUGAUUGCUUACCUUGUCUGUUACCUCUUUCAGCAGAUCCCCUAGCUCGGCGACUUGGGGGACUCCUACUACAUGGUUUGUAUCGCGCUUGACCAAGCCUGAAACUACAAGUAAGCUUCAAGUGACAUUGAUACAUUACCUUGUGCAUCUCCACCAGUUACAGAUACCACCCUUGGAUGGAGGAAGAGUACUUCCAGAGAAGAUUCCACAUCUACCUAUGAGACAGAUAAGGAAAGUCAAGACGAUACCACACUCCGGUACUUAGAAGUUUCGUGGUUACGAGAUCAUUCUCCCACAAUAUUUCCUAAUGUCAUUUGUACUAAAUCAUUCACUUGUACUCCCUAAAGGAGAGCUUGAACCUAUGUACUUGUGUAAACCCUUCACAAUUAAUGAGAACUCCACUAUUCCGUGGACGUAGCCAAUCUGGGUGAACCACGUACAUCUUGUGUUUGCUUUCCUAUCUCUAUCCAUUUAUAUACUUAUCCACACUAAUGACCGGAGCAAUCUAGCGAAGAUCACAAAAAGUGACCGUUUUCACUACCUAGGAUUUAUCUUGCAAGAGAACGGAGAAUUAGAUGGAGAUCUCAACCAUAGAAUACAAGUUGGAUGGAUGAAGUGUAAGAGUGUAUCCGGCGUGUUGUGUGACCGUCGUAGGCCACUGAAGCUCAAGGGAAAAUUUUAUAGGACGGCAAUAAGGCCAGCGAUGUUGUAUGGCACAGAAUGUUGGGCGGUGAAGCAUCAACACGUACACAAAAUGGGUGUAGCGGAGAUGACGAUGCUUCGUGGGAUGUAUGGGCACACGAGAAAGGAUAAGAUUGGGAAUGAGAAUAUCCGAGGUAAAGUAGGAGUAGCCAAAAUUGAAGGAAAUAUGAGAGAAAAUCGGUUCCGGUGGUUUGGACAUGUGCAAAGAAGGCCUACUGACGCUCCGGUUCGAAAAUGUGACUACGGGACAGAAGUGCAGGGCCGAAGGGGUAGAGGAAGACCUAGGAAAACUUUGGAAGAGACCCUAAGAAAAGACUUGAGUACUUGGAUCUAACGGAGGACAUGACACAAAACCGAGCGCAAUGGCGUUCUAGGAUUCAUAUAGCCGACCCCACUUAGUAGGAAAAAGCUUUGUUAUUGUUGUUGUUGUUGUACAGAGAAUGAAACUUAAACUAGAUCGCAUAAUACACUACUUAAAAUCGAUUUGACUAGAUUUGCAUGGACAACUUUCGUAAUUUGAAGAUCACUUGAAUUUACCUAAUUUGAAAACAGCAGAAUAAGAAGUAAUGGAUCUCAUGAGUCUCGAUAUAUUUAUUAUAUCUUCUAAUUCAACUUCAAAUAUUAAAUAGGAAAGGGACGGUUUGAGUUCGAACUUCAGUAGCUAAUCUAACAAAAUUUAUCAUUUACAUACAAAAAAAUUUCAAAUAUUAAAUAGGAAAGUGAUUUUUAAUUUUGAUUAAUUAAAUAAAAGGUAAUAUAUCACAUGAUUUUGCAAUUUCUCACUACAGGAAGCCAGGAAGGUGAAUAAAAAAAAAAAAGGAGGAGCAAGUAUUUCAAAACUGAGAAAAAAAUUCAAAACAGUCUGAGAUGCCUAGUGACGGGUAAGGCGAACCGGAAGUCCUUUUUCCGGUGUUGGCAUCAUGUCGCCGGUGAUCUUCUCCUUAGGAAAUACCACUUCCCAUUUGAACCUCUUGACCACAUUGUGAACGAAAGUGAGGAUUGCUAGGCGAGCGUACUCUUUCCCAGGGCACAUUCUUGGGCCUCCUCCAAAUGGAACAAAUGUGAAAGCUGGGAAUACACUUAGGUCAUCAUAUCUUGAUGGGUCAAACUUUUCUGGGUUGGGGAAGUACUCUGAGUUCAUGUUUACUGUACUCACAGUCCAAUAUACCUUCCAGCCCUUCGGAAUGGUGUAACCGGCGUAGGUAAAAUCAGUCAAGGCCUCUCUGAAUGUUCCUUGAAGUGGCGGCGUGAAUCUCAUCACUUCAUACAACACAUUCCAUGAAUAUUUCAUUUUGUUGAUGUCUUCCCAUUCCAAGAAGUCUCCUGGCUUCUUUGAGUCUGCUAUCUCCUUGUGCUCUGGAAUUUCACAAAACAAAUCAAAUUUUUGCACAAAAAUAUAAACCCCAAAUCUCCAAAUUCAGUUUGGUAAUCAUAAAAAUUAUAUAGUAAUUAUGUUGAAGUGAUUAAUAUUUACCAGCUAGAACCUUGGCAUAGAUGUCUGGCCUCUCUCCAACGUAUUUCAUGAAGAAAGUCAUGGCAGUAGCCACAGUGCUAUAUCCUGCUGUGAGCAAACCCAUGAUCUUAUCCGCAACCUCAGCCUCAGGCAUGUGUUUGCCAGAUGGGUCACUAGCCACAAUCAUGUGUGACAAUAUAUCAUGCAUGGGACCUCCUGCCGCCAUCGCAGCCUUCUUCUCCUGAAUCACAAUCCUCAACUCCUUUCGCAGCGCGUCUGCGGCUUUGGUUGCCUUGUAGAAUGUUGUUCCUGGGAAGUUGAUAAUAAGCGAAUGCAUCCCAACGGUAACAUCAUCAAAAUUGCUCACAAGCCUCGCAAUUCGCUCGGAAUCAUCGAUACCCAAGAAGAAUCUGCAGGCAAGACUUAGAGUGAGGGUCUUGGCCAAGGGGUAGACCUCGACCUCAUCUUUGCCUUCCCAAUAGGCCUUCAUCUGUUCCUGAGUGAUAGAGUCCAUUUUCCCCAAGUACCUCACCAAUGCUUCCGGCUUCAAAAACCCUGGGGAUCUUAUAACUUUCGCUUCUUCAUCGCGAGAAGGUUGUGCCACAGCGGGAGCAGCAGAAGCAGUGGGCGCGGCAGCCUUGUAUGAUCGAAACAUCUUUUGCAUCGAAUGUGGUCGGAAUGCUGUGAAGUACUUUUGUUCAUUGGAGAACAGAAAUUUGUGUCCACUAGGACCACAAAUCACUG
rnacentral:lncRNA from 1 species